AUGUUAGAAAGAGCGUAGCCUUAGGAUCUGGCAGACCCAGGGGCCACUUAAUUAACCCUUUGCCUCUUUGACCCUCAAUCUCCUUUUCUCUAAGCCAUAGGUCACCAGAAAGCCUACCUCACAGGGCUGUUGUGAGGGCCGAGGGUGGGGGCGCUGCAACAGUGCUGUGCAGAUGCUGGCUUUCCCUGGGAAUGGGCAUAUGUUGGGAUUUGUCUUGAAAGCAUGAGUGAUGGCUUUACCAGUCCUAAGUGAAUAAAAAGUCAGCCCUGACCUUACGCUGGGAUUGCAUUUCCCACAGUCAGUGGCAUGUACAGACCACUGGCGGAGCAGCCUGCAGGUGCUUAGCGAUGUGGGCCCAGAGUAAAUAUUUGUUUGAUUGAUGAGUGAUGGCUUUUUCCUUCCUCAGAGGUUGCCCUGCCCCCCAUUCCAACGUGGGCUGCUGCUUCUCCCCAGCAGGUUGUAGCUGGCAGGGCCGUUGUGCUUUGGGGUUUGCUGUACCUGUCGCUGCCGUGAGGGGACGAUCUGUCUGCCUGGAGGGGUUUCUGCAAACAUUCAUGUAUGCCCCUGCUUUCGUUUGUUAGGGAGAAGGAGUGGGGUGACCUAGAGAGAGGAUGAGGAAGGGGUUCUGGGUGGCAUCCUUGGGGUACCAACCCUCCUUCCAUCCUGCGCUCUGAAUUUUCUCACAGCCCUUUUCUGUUCCUGGUAGAAGGUGCAGAAGGUAGGCUUUGCCACCUUCCCUGGGCCUGGCACCAAGCUCUGGGGUCUUGUACACACUUUCCCUUCUCUAACUGGGGUGUGGGCCCAUUUCCUAGAUGAGCUUGCUGAGAAUCAGGACAGCUGGUAUCAGAGCCAGGACUUCCCAGUCUUGCACAAAUAACCUGUGCAUUUUUGAGUCCACCAAAUAAGGCCUCCUGCCUGGUCCGGCUCACCCCUGCCAGCCCCCAGCAAAUGCAGCCUGGUGCGUCCCCACCCCUGCCAAGAGCCCGGGAGUGCUCUGGCAGAGAAGUGCAGGGAUGAGGAAGGAGGCUGUGCCCUCCAGGGGACUCAGCUGCGUUAGAGGAGUUGCUGCAGCACUGGCAGGGGUCUCCAGACAUCCCAUGCAGGGGUCCUUUCAGAUCAGGCGUCUCUUCACCAGACCACCGUAUUCCUUUUUCAGCCCUCGUCUCUUGCACGUGGGGGUGCAGUGUUUGGCUCUCACAUCCCCACAUUCCAGCUGGUGGGGGUUUGAGCUAGGUGUUCCUUCUGCUCCCCACUCCCCACUCACGGCCCCCACCCCGUGCAAGCCUCCCUUGCCCCCACUCUUUGUCUCCAGCUUUCACAGCCUUGGUGGGCAGGCUGCUGGGCCUGUUGCCGCCCCCGCUCUCUUCCACCCGCCUCUUCUUUCUCAGCCUGAGCUUUACUGUGAGGUCUGGGUGCCACACCUUGGCCCCUGCCAUGCCUGCCCCCAGAAGCACCCACGUGGGUCCCCUGAUUCUCUCCUCCCCUGGGCUUUGCUAAGGAGCCCUUUCAUUGUGGCCUUUGGUGUCUGCCUCAUGCCCAUCCCCUGUUCUUGAGAACUUGGAAGCAGAGGGGGCCCCUCCUAUUGCUCCCAAGAGGCUCCACAGUAGGGAGCCCCUCCCAGGAGAUUCUGAGUCUGUGUUUAGGUGUCGAUUCCUGGGUGGGCCUUGGGGUCCCCUCAGGCCAGGCCUGUGUGUGACCUAAGGCUGGGGGGCUCUAUCAGGCACCUGGUGUCCCUUGGAGGUGGGCGGGGCUGGGUCCUGGUCUCCUGAGGACGGGUGGGGAGACAGGCUCAGGGAGAUUUCCACGAAGCUGCCCUUGAACCCCUCCUCUGAGGCCCGCACUGCCCUGGCCCUUUACACCCUGCCUCCUGCACUAGUAGGCGCAUAAUAGAUGCUCGCCACCUGUGGAGGGCAGGGUUUAAAUGGCUGGAAAGAGCUGAGUGGGCUGUUUGGCUAGCGUACGCGCAUUUGUUUAAAAGGAAAGGGUGUGUUUCUUGGCAAAGACUCUUCGGAGGAAAUGCUGAACUGGGGAAGGGUCUCUACCUGUUCUGGGGCCUCACUGCCCUUCCUGCCGGGGACAGGCAGUCACUGGUGGCUUUCCCCCCAGUGGAAACACAAUAUUUUGGAAAUAUUUAUAUCUAGGAUAAAACUUCAUCUGGACCAACAUGUCUUUGUUGGUGUUGUGGCCCAGGUGAUUUUGAGAAUGUAGAAUACAUUUGGCAAUUUCCAAACGGAGUGAUGACCCGCUCCUCCGCCCCCCCCUGCCCUCCCUGAGGCUGGAGGCUUCAGAAGCCCCUGCCUUGGGAGGAGGCUGUUCUACCUGAGAAGUCUUUGUCCCCACCGUUGGUGACAAUCAGCAUUGACCUGUGAGGCACCUGCCAGGUUUGGGACGCAGCUUUAGACAUCCAGAAAACCGGGGGUGGAGGGGUGGGGUGGGGGCUUCAGACCCCAGAGCUUGAUUCCUUUUAACUGUCUCAUCCCCAAAGAAUGGUACAUGGGUACCAGGUAGGUUACUUGAAUCACCCUGAGCCUCGAUUUUCCCACCCGUUAGAAACGGGGUAAUUCAUGACAGUGUCCGCUUGGGAGACGGCUGUGACCCCUGAGAAUUCUCGCUGCAUGCCGUGGGCUGGCUCGUGAGACUCAAGGUCUGGGUUCGAGGCCCCCGCAACCCCUUCUGACUGUGUGGCCUGGGCGAGUUUGUUGUUUGUAACCUGGAAAGCGUCACACCUGCCUGGCACGGUUAUUGUGGGCUUCAAUGAGAUUGUUUGUGUGAAAUAAACGCUUUGUGACUGGCACACAGGCGCUCUCAUCCCGGCUCUCCUGGUGGGCCCGGACCGCUGGGUGCUGGCUGCGGAGGCCCUGUGCUCCCUGGAACUGUCUGCGCUGGUCCCAGGGACUCUUGGGCAGAGUGGAGGGCAAGGGGGGAAGCACCAGCCUGCUCUGGGGAGACAGUGGCAGAGGGAAGGGUUUGUUUUUAAAUACACUCAGCAGGUUCAGACAGGAGAGGAUCAGAGGGGAAAUGUUUAGAGCCCUCAGGAGGAGGAGGGGACCGAGUUUUAGGAAAAACAUCAAAGCUGGAUAGGUUGGGCAGAAGAGCUGGGGAUAGCAUUUAGAGAGACUCUGGACCCGGGGCCUCCCCUUGAGUAGAGACCCGCCCUCUGACUGAUGGACGCCGCUGACCUGGGGUCAGACCCGUGGGCUGGACCCCUGCCCACCCCGCAGGAACCCUGAGGCCUAGGGGAGCUGUUGAGCCUUCGGUGUCUGCAUGUGGGAAGUGGGCUCCUUCACCUACCUCACAGGGCUGUUGUGAGGGGCGCUGUGAUGCGGUUCCAAAGCACAGGGCUUGGCGCACCCCACUGUGCUCUCAAUAAAUGUGUUUCCUGUCUU
rnacentral:lncRNA from 1 species